rnacentral:rRNA from 1 species
GACGAACGCUGGCGGCGUGCUUAACACAUGCAAGUCGAACGGAAAGGCCCUGCUCUUGUGGGGUGCUCGAGUGGCGAACGGGUGAGUAACACGUGAGUAACCUGCCCUUGACUUUGGGAUAACUUCAGGAAACUGGGGCUAAUACCGGGUAGGAGCUCCUGCUGCAUGGUGGGGGUUGGAAAGUUUCGGCGGUUGGGGAUGGACUCGCGGCUUAUCAGCUUGUUGGUGGGGUAGUGGCUUACCAAGGCUUUGACGGGUAGCCGGCCUGAGAGGGUGACCGGCCACAUUGGGACUGGGGUACGACCCAGACUCCUACGGGAGGCAGCAGUGGGGAAUAGUGCACAAUGGGCGGAAGCCUGAUGCAGCAACGCCGCGUGCGGGAUGACGGCCUUCGGGUUGUAACCCGCUUUCGCCUGUGACGAAGCGUGAGUGACGGUAAUGGGUAAAGAAGCACCGGCUAACUACGU